AGAACGAACGCUGGCUUCAUGCCUAACACAUGCAAGUCGAACGAGACCUUCGGGUCUAGUGGCGCACGGGUGCGUAACGCGUGGGAACCUGCCCUUAGGUUCGGAAUAACUCAGAGAAAUUUGAGCUAAUACCGGAUAAUGUCUUCGGACCAAAGAUUUAUCGCCUUUGGAUGGGCCCGCGUAGGAUUAGCUUGUUGGUGGGGUAAUGGCCUACCAAGGCGACGAUCCUUAGCUGGUCUGAGAGGAUGAUCAGCCACACUGGGACUGAGACACGGCCCAGACUCCUACGGGAGGCAGCAGUGGGGAAUAUUGGACAAUGGGCGAAAGCCUGAUCCAGCAAUGCCGCGUGAGUGAUGAAGGCCUUAGGGUGUAAAGCUCUUUACCGGGAUGAUAAUGACAGUACCGGAGAAUAAGCUCCGGCUAACUCCGCGUCAGCAGCCGC
rnacentral:rRNA from 1 species